GAGUUUGAUCAUGGCUCAGGAUGAACGCUGGCGGCGUGCUUAACACAUGCAAGUCGAACGAACCUUCGGGUUAGUGGCGGACGGGUGAGUAACGCGUGGGAAUCUGCCCUCAGGAGGGGGAUAACGGUUGGAAACGGCCGCUAAUACCCCAUAUGCCGAGAGGUGAAAUGAAUUUCGCCUGAGGAUGAGCCCGCGUCUGAUUAGCUAGUUGGUGAGGUAAUGGCUCACCAAGGCAUCGAUCAGUAGCUGGUCUGAGAGGAUGAUCAGCCACACUGGGACUGAGACACGGCCCAGACUCCUACGGGAGGCAGCAGUGGGGAAUUUUCCGCAAUGGGCGCAAGCCUGACGGAGCAACGCCGCGUGAGGGAUGAAGGCCUCUGGGCUGUAAACCUCUUUUCUCAAGGAAGAAGAUCUGACGGUACUUGAGGAAUAAGCCACGGCUAAUUCCGUGCCAGCAGCCGCGGUAAUACGGGAGUGGCAAGCGUUAUCCGGAAUUAUUGGGCGUAAAGCGUCCGCAGGCGGAUUUUCAAGUCUGCUGUUAAAAAGUGGAGCUUAACUCCAUCAAGGCAGUGGAAACUGAUUGGCUUGAGUGUGGUAGGGGCAGAGGGAAUUCCCGGUGUAGCGGUGAAAUGCGUAGAUAUCGGGAAGAACACCAGUGGCGAAGGCGCUCUGCUGGGCCAUAACUGACGCUCAUGGACGAAAGCCAGGGGAGCGAAAGGGAUUAGAUACCCCUGUAGUCCUGGCCGUAAACGAUGAACACUAGGUGUCGGGGGAAUCGACCCCCUCGGUGUCGUAGCCAACGCGUUAAGUGUUCCGCCUGGGGAGUACGCACGCAAGUGUGAAACUCAAAGGAAUUGACGGGGGCCCGCACAAGCGGUGGAGUAUGUGGUUUAAUACGAUGCAACGCGAAGAACCUUACCAGGGUUUGACAUCCUGCGAAUCUCUUGGAAACGAGAGAGUGCCUUUGGGAACGCAGUGACAGGUGGUGCAUGGCUGUCGUCAGCUCGUGUCGUGAGAUGUUGGGUUAAGUCCCGCAACGAGCGCAACCCACGUUUUUAGUUGCCAGCAUUCAGUUGGGCACUCUAGAGAGACCGCCGGUGAUAAACCGGAGGAAGGUGUGGAUGACGUCAAGUCAUCAUGCCCCUUACAUCCUGGGCUACACACGUACUACAAUGCUACGGACAAAGGGCAGCAAGUUCGCGAGGACAAGCAAAUCCCAUAAACCGUGGAUCAGUUCAGAUCGUAGGCUGCAACUCGCCUACGUGAAGAAGGAAUCGCUAGUAAUCGCAGGUCAGCAUACUGCGGUGAAUACGUUCCCGGGCCUUGUACACACCGCCCGUCACACCAUGGAAGUUGGCCACGCCCGAAGUCGUCACUCCAACCCUUGUGGAGGAGGACGCCGAAGGUGGGGCUGAUGACUGGGGUGAAGUCGUAACAAGGUAACC
rnacentral:rRNA from 1 species